ACAUGACGGUUGGCCAGAGAAUUUUGGAGCUGGAGCCUUGUGUCGGGAGCCUAGUGUCUGGGAGUAUGGCAAACCAACUUUCCGACCGCUGCAGAUUAAUCUACUGAGUCUCUGAAUCUGUAAGACGAUGCAGGGAAGCUUAUAUGAAAUUUUCUUUUCAAGCAACAGCUCAAAAAAUGGAGGAGCCAAGCUCUCUACAGAUUGUUCAGAUUGUAAUGCAAAUAGGCAUUCCAAUGCAGCAUGUACUAAGAAAACACUAAAGACUGCUCAAAGAAACAAUUCCUAGUCUACACUGUCACUUGAACAUUGAAAUGCAAAACUGAUUAGAACAUACUACGUGUUAAAAACAUCAUGCAAAGGACACGAAAGGCAACAUUGUCAAGGCAUUUUGGAGGGUGCAUCAGCUCACUUCUUGAAAAAUAAGAGAAGAUGGAAUCCUGCUUUUCCUUUCAGGGUAAAAAGUAGUCUCCAUGAAAGAAAAAAAAAUCUCAAUGAAGAACUCCAGACAGAACGCUGGGCAGAAUGAAGUCCACUCGUUUGCCAUUAUGAUGAAUUUAAAUAUCCAGCCACCCAUCCCAUGAAAGCCAAAAAAACAGGUGAAGAUAAAUAAACAGUUGUUCCAGUU
rnacentral:lncRNA from 1 species